CGGGUUGCAGCAGUGGGGAAUCUUGCGCAAUGGGCGAAAGCCUGACGCAGCCAUGCCGCGUGAAUGAUGAAGGUCUUAGGAUUGUAAAAUUCUUUCACCGGGGACGAUAAUGACGGUACCCGGAGAAGAAGCCCCGGCUAACUUCGUGCCAGCAGCCGCGGUAAUACGAAGGGGGCUAGCGUUGCUCGGAAUUACUGGGCGUAAAGGGCGCGUAGGCGGAUCGUUAAGUCAGAGGUGAAAUCCCAGGGCUCAACCCUGGAACUGCCUUUGAUACUGGCGAUCUUGAGUAUGAGAGAGGUAUGUGGAACUCCGAGUGUAGAGGUGAAAUUCGUAGAUAUUCGGAAGAACACCAGUGGCGAAGGCGACAUACUGGCUCAUUACUGACGCUGAGGCGCGAAAGCGUGGGGAGCAAACAGGAUUAGAUACCCCCGU
rnacentral:rRNA from 1 species